UUCCUUUUCUUUCUCUUUCUAGAAAACGGAGCCCACAAAUAUUAUUUUCGAGGUUCACGAUCACGCAGCGGCAUUGUCCUCAAAUAAAAUUAUUUAGAGAUCCUCAAAUAAAAUUGUUUGGAAAGGAUGCCUACCAAAAUUUUGUUCCAUUGAUAUCCUCUCUCUUACACGUGUACGGCAUCUACCCGCCCCAAAAAAUCUAUUUAAACCCAUCAUCCUUUUUUUCGUUCACAAUAAUAAUAUCAUUCUUCGAUUCAUCAUCGCUCUCUCUCUCUCUCUCUCUCUAUUUUGUGGUAGCUUUCAUUGUAUUACAAUGGUGUAUCGUGGUGGAUUAUUGCUCAAUCCGACGCUCCACGACGCUCCAAUUGGCGAUCGCCCCAACAACCUGCAGAUUCGGGGGGCCAGCAGGUGCCUCCUCUUGGUCGCCGUCGCCGAGCUCGUGCUGACAGCCACGCUGUUCGACGACGUCGGCCUCAACGCUGGUAACGACUUCCUCAAUCUCUUAAUCCAGUCGCUCUUCGCCGUCGCUGUCGUCGUCGCCUUCAACGUCGCCAUGCUUGCGCUGCUCCUCCCCCUCGCGGCGCCGUUCGCAGAAGCCGUCUCUCCGGCCGUGGCAUCCCGCUUGGAGCGGGCCGCUGCAGUCGGGUCCGUUACGACCCUUCUGCUCGCCACCUCCCUUCUCGUCUCCGUCGCGCUCGUCGGUGAUUAUGCAAAAAGAGAGGCCCUCGGCGAGCUCAGAUAAUAUUGACCUAACAAGUACUGCCACAUCAUUCUUGGUCCGGGCCAGUUAAAGCAAAAAAAAAAAAAAUCUUGCCUGAGUGUAAAUUUUCCCUGGACCAUGUGCGCCACUUCAUCCGUGAACUAAACCCGUCAACUUCCAGCGUAGUGUAGUCCAAGUGGGUCCUCGUGUCGCUGGUUACUUGGUCUGGUCUGUGAACCGGGUCCAAGCAGCAGUUACUUCGUAGUAAGCUUGGGCAUGGACCCAGUUCAAGUCCACCCGAGUGUAUCGUCCAACUACUACAGUUGUCGUUUUGUUAUUAUAUGUCUUUUAUACGCCGGGUGCUGUAAGAUUAUUAUAUGUUUUUUAUUUUAUUUUACAUAUUAAAAUAAAGAAUGUUCGGUUUGUGAUAAUCCUUAUUGUAGCUAUUAUCGUUUUAUUUUAUUUUAUUUUUAUUUUGGGUACGCGUUCUUUCUUUGUGCCCUUUUCAACGAGCGCCGCAAAAGAAAACUGGUCAACGCAAUGGUCCUUCCUUUAGGGCUUCGAUCGAAAUCCGCUCAACUUCUAAACAUACCAUGGCUUGGAAGCUGUCAUCAGAAGACAUAAAGGCUCUUCACUUAUCUAGCAAUAGUUGGAAGCUUUUCGUGUUUAAGUGAUCAACCUUUUCAAGUAUUUUCCUGAGUUUCAACUUCCUGACUUUGAUUCUGCUUGCUUUCGGAGGAAAUCACCACUAGAUUUACUCUCCAUGAUUUGACUUGAUGAAAUAAGAGGUUCAAUCAAAAUUUGUUGUUGAACUUGUCUUCAAUUGUAUCUUCUUGGCGCCAAGAGUUGCAGAAUUCAAGUGGACUAAAUAUGUGAUGCGGUUAGUUCAUUAUUGGAUAGAUCAUGUGCUAAUGGCAAAUUGCAUGAAAAGGUGGAGCAGAAGUUGUUCUGAGGAAGAAUUUUUUGCACACUACAGAGCUCAAGAAGAUUUUUGGGCUGUGCCCAGGUGCUAUGAUGUGUUCACAAGUUCUCUUUGAAAGAUUCUUCUUUUACCAAAUGUAUAGGAUAGGGAUGCAAACAGGGCGGAUCCGGAGACGGGAGGGGACCAUCAUUUCUCGCUCCAUGUCUUGUCAGGUCGGGGCGGAUGCAGGGUGAGUUAAUUUUAAUCCUAUUUUGGACCCCAUUAAUUGCUCUAUUCGGGGCGGAUCGGAACGGGAGCAGAUUUUUUAUGGAUCGGGAUGGAUUAAAGAAAGAAUGGAGUCUCUCGUCUUCCAUUCCAUUUGCUGGCGGAUCAGGGUGGAUUUAGGACGGAUUACACUUGUAGAUUUCGCAGAUAAUGUAAAGGGCUUUAGAACUACACUGUAGCUUGCAGAUACUGCCACAGUCGGGUUAAAACAGAACAUAUUCUUGCACGCGAGACGAAUAUUAUCUUGACAAGCAUGAUACUGCCAACUGGAACAUAAGGAAGCAGUUACACGAUCUUGUUUACUUGUUCUUGAUAGCUCAACCUUGCCAAUCAUGUCACACUAAUGUAGAACACUUUCUACGUACUCCGAGCAAGAGUAACCUUUCUUAGAUUC